rnacentral:snRNA from 1 species
AUUGCUUCUCGGCCUUUUGGCUAAGAUCAGUUGUAGUAUCUGUUCUUUCAGUUUAAUAUCUGAUAUGUCCUCUAUCCGAGGACAAUAUAUUAAAUGCAUUUUGGGGACAGGGAGAUGGAAUAGGAGAUUGCUCUGUCCACUCCACGCAUCUACCUGGUAUUGCAGUACCUCCAGGAAUGGUGCACCCCUC